rnacentral:rRNA from 1 species
UACGUAGGGUGCGAGCGUUAAUCGGAAUUACUGGGCGUAAAGCGUGCGCAGGCGGUUUUGUAAGCCGGAUGUGAAACCCCCGGGCUUAACCUGGGAAUGGCAUUCGGGACUGCAAGGCUGGAGUGCGGCAGAGGAGACUGGAAUUCCUGGUGUAGCAGUGAAAUGCGUAGAUAUCAGGAGGAACACCGAUGGCGAAGGCAGGUCUCUGGGCUGACACUGACGCUCAUGCACGAAAGCGUGGGGAGCAAACAGG